rnacentral:rRNA from 1 species
GUAGGUGGCAAGCGUUGUCCGGAAUUAUUGGGCGUAAAGCGCGCGCAGGCGGCUUCCCAAGUCCCUCUUAAAAGUGCGGGGCUUAACCCCGUGAUGGGAAGGAAACUGGGAAGCUGGAGUAUCGGAGAGGAAAGUGGAAUUCCUAGUGUAGCGGUGAAAUGCGUAGAUAUUAGGAGGAACACCAGUGGCGAAGGCGGCUUGCUGGACGGUAACUGACGUUGAGGCUCGAAAGCGUGGGGAGCAAACAGGAUUAGAUACCCUGGUAGUCCACGCCGUAAACGAUGACUACUAGGUGUCGGUAAGCAAAGCUUAUCGGUGCCGCAGCUAACGCAAUAAGUAGUCCACCUGGGGAGU